UAGCACACGCAAAAAUGGGAAACGCUCAUUGCUGUAAUACACAGCUAUUCAACUUAGCCCAAAUCUUCCAUCUUAAUUAUUUGUUAAAUUCUAUCUUAUCAUAAUCUCAGUGCUCUAUGAUCACCUCUAAUCCCAUCUGCAUCAACCGUUGUAAGCAUAUUGUAAAUCUGAAGUGCACAAAUACCUCCACCCCUCUAUCCAAG
rnacentral:misc_RNA from 1 species